ensembl:lncRNA ZNF667-AS1 ZNF667 antisense RNA 1 (head to head)
ACACUCUCGCCAGCCCCCUUACCUCGGUCUUCCCGGGCUCAGACCCCGGCGGCGACCACCGAGACAGCCGAGCAGGGACUCAGCGCCUGCGCACUCCCCUCCGGGACCCCGGGACCGCGCGCUGCACCCCCCUUCACACACGCACCACGCAUGCGGGCGCGUGGCCCCGCCCCCAAACAAGGCCACGCGGCGUGCGCUCACCCGCCUCUCGGGGACAGUACCACCAGCCCCGGCCUGAGGCCCCGACCCCUCAGCGCCACACGCACAAGCGCGUUCGCACGAUUGGUGCAGGCGGACGCGCGAGGUCCCGCGCCUGCGCACACCCCCGAGGCUGGCACGCACACCGGUCUCCUAGGGGACUGGCGCCUGGCCCUGCUUUUCAUCCUCUCAGGAGAUCACGUGUGGACACUGAGGCCCUUCCUCGAGCUCUUUAACCAAACCCAACCUCCCCAAUUCGCCGCCUUCCCCGCUCCCACAACCACACGUUCCCGUGUGAGGGCUUAUUGCCUCCAGCCAGCCAGCGUCCUUCGCCCCCACAUUCACGAGGUUUGGAGCCGGCCUCACCCGCGGAGGCGGACACCGCCCACCCGCGCGUGCGCACUACGCAGUCAUCCUGCGACCUCCAGAAUCCACCGGGGUGCAGCGAGGCUGUGGAAAGUCCCACCCAGAACGUGAGGUGAAGAAGGCUUGGGCUGCGCUGGUUCUGCUCUGUCCGGGUCGGAGAUGAACUGACCCGGGAGAGCAGCGGAGGGAUGUUUCUUUUGGCCAACAGUGGGGACUCACCUGCACGUUUUGCGAAGAGGCCCACAGUCCUUUGCGUGGCGCUCGGACUACAUUUCCCAACGGCCCCUGCACGCCCUGGGGGCUGUUCCAUGCGGUGUUGCGCCUGCGUAGCCGGCGGGCUGGCAGUGAGACUGACUGCGUCGGGGUUGAGACUGGGUGGAUGAGGCUCACCCCGGCGGGGAGAAGGGACGAGGAGGGGCGGACAGCGGAAGGUCCGGGAGUGUCCGCCAUAAAGUCGUUUGAGGUGACCGUUGCGUAAUUGUGAGUCUGUGAGAGAAGAUGUGAAGUAUGGCCUCGUCCCGGUCAUCUGGGCGUGCGGGUCCCGGGUUUUGAUCGCGCGUUUGUGUAGGUGAGACCCACAUUGUGUUACCCUGAACAUGUGUGAGGACGAACCUUUGUGUUUUCUUAUACGUGUGUCUCUGAGGCGAUUUUUGUGGUUUUGUACGUGGCGGGGGGCACUGAUUUUGAAUAUGUGUGUAUGUUCUGGACAUUUGUUUAGCUUCUGCAUCCACUUCUGCGGAAGGGCAGAGUUGAGUAGGUGGGAACAGGUACUGUGUGGCCCCACAAAGCCUGAACUAUUUACUGUUGACUCUAGAGCCCAGUUUUUGCGGUGUGUACGUCUCUGUGGGGAACCACACAUUUUGAAUAUGUAUAC